GGGUCUGCCGCCGGUUUCCGGUUCCACCCGACGGACGAGGAGCUGGUGAACUACUACCUGAAGCGCAAGAUCCACGGGCUCCACAUCGAGCUCGACAUCAUCCCGGAGGUGGACCUCUACAAGUGCGAGCCAUGGGACCUCGCAGAGAAGUCGUUGUUGCCGAGCCGUGACCCGGAGUGGUACUUCUUCGGGCCGAGGGACCGCAAGUACCCCAACGGCUUCCGGACCAACCGGGCGACGCGGGCAGGGUACUGGAAGUCCACCGGCAAGGACCGGCGCGUCAUGACGCAGCAGCACCACGGCGGCGGAGGAGCCGGCGGCGGCGCCCGGGCAAUCGGGAUGAAGAAGACGCUGGUAUACUACCGCGGACGCGCGCCGCAGGGGGUGCGCACCGAUUGGGUGAUGCACGAGUACCGCCUCGACGACAAGGACUCCGAGGACACCAUCGCCAUCCAGGAUACCUACGCGCUGUGCCGGGUCUUCAAGAAGAACGCCAUCUGCGCCGAGGUGGAGGAGCUGCAGGAGGGGCAGUGCAGCAUGGCACUGCUCGAGGGCGCCUGCCAGCAGCUGCUCGCCAGCAGCCGCACUGCCGGACAGGAGUACUACCAGACCCCGUCGCCCGACGUGCCCGCAGGGUCCACCUCCGGCGGUGCUGACGCCGACGCAGACGACGAGGCAGACAAGGACGACUCCUGGAUGCAGUUCAUCUCCGAGGACGCCUGGUGCUCCAGCACCGCCGACGAGGAGAGCACCUCCUGCGCCGGCUGA
rnacentral:rRNA from 1 species